AACGAACGCUGGCGGCAUGCCUAACACAUGCAAGUCGAACGAAGCCUUCGGGCUUAGUGGCGCACGGGUGCGUAACGCGUGGGAAUCUGCCCUUCGGUUCGGAACAACAGUUAGAAAUGACUGCUAAUACCGGAUAAUGACGUAAGUCCAAAGAUUUAUCGCCGAAGGAUGAGCCCGCGUAAGAUUAGGUAGUUGGUGGGGUAAUGGCCUACCAAGCCGACGAUCUUUAGCUGGUCUGAGAGGAUGAUCAGCCACACUGGGACUGAGACACGGCCCAGACUCCUACGGGAGGCAGCAGUGGGGAAUAUUGGACAAUGGGCGAAAGCCUGAUCCAGCAAUGCCGCGUGAGUGAUGAAGGCCUUAGGGUUGUAAAGCUCUUUUACCAGGGAUGAUAAUGACAGUACCUGGAGAAUAAGCUCCGGCUAACUCCGUGCCAGCAGCCGCGGUAAGUGACGUCAGA
rnacentral:rRNA from 1 species